UGGGGAAUAUUGCACAAUGGGCGCAAGCCUGAUGCAGCCAUGCCGCGUGUAUGAAGAAGGCCUUCGGGUUGUAAAGUACUUUCAGCGGGGAGGAAGGGAGUAAAGUUAAUACCUUUGCUCAUUGACGUUACCCGCAGAAGAAGCACCGGCUAACCCCGUGCCAGCAGCCGCGGUAAUACGGAGGGUGCAAGCGUUAAUCGGAAUUACUGGGCGUAAAGCGCACGCAGGCGGUUUGUUAAGUCAGAUGUGAAAUCCCCGGGCUCAACCUGGGAACUGCAUCUGAUACUGGCAAGCUUGAGUCUCGGAGAGGGGGGUAGAAUUCCAGGUGUAGCGGUGAAAUGCGUAGAGAUCUGGAGGAAUACCGGUGGCGAAGGCGGCCCCCUGGACGAAGACUGACGCUCAGGUGCGAAAGCGUGGGGAGCAAACAGG
rnacentral:rRNA from 1 species